GGAAUGAUUGAAUACAAGAAGAAGUAUAUUAUGUAUGAAAUUGUUAUUAUGGGAUUAUUAUAACUGUUGCAACACCUUUUUUGACAAUAUUAUAGAAUAUAUAAACAUUCACAUGUUCACACAGUACCAAUAAAAAUAGCUGAUAAAUGAAUAAACGAAUAAGUUGAAGAAAAUGAAUAACUAUACAAAUAUUGGUUUUGGUGAUGAAGUGAAAAAUUACAUUUUGUAGAACUGCCAAUAAAUAAUGCCAUUUUGUAUUUACAAACUCGACUUUUCUUUAAUAAAAAAACAGACGUGCAACACAGAAAAACAAGUCAUAGGCUUAUCAUUGUGUACGCCAUUGUGUGUUUCGUUUAAAAAAAUCAUCAGCGGCUCUAUUAAAAGGUUAAAAGGUACAGCACCAACAAACACAUGGUGUACAUAGCCGGACUUUGUGCAGGCCCAACAUAUGCUUGGAGUUGCGUCUAAGAACGUUUUUUACACUUGAUAUUAUCUCAAACACUUUCAAAUACUUUAAAAACUAGAGGCUCUCAAGAGCCUGUGUCGCUCACCUUGGGUCUAUGUACAUAUCAAACAAUAAACAUGACAAAAUUGUGUUUUGGUGAUGGUGAUGUGUUUGUAGAUCUUACUUUAUUGAACAUUCUUGUUGUAACAAUUACAUGUAUCUAUAAUGAACUUGGCCCAGUAUUUACAGUGGAAAAGUAUUUUCUAAAAAUUUACAAAAAUUUACAAAAAAUUAUGACUAUUGGUCUAUGUGGAUAUUAAACAAACAACGCAGAUGGUAACAUGACAAAAUUGUGUUUUGGUGAUUGUGAUGUGUUUGUAUUGAACAUUAUUGCUGCCUUCAAUUAUCUCUAUCUAUAAUGAACUUGGCCCAGUAGUUUCAGUGGAAAAUGUUAGUAAAAAUUUACAAAGUUUAUGAAAAGUUUAUGACUAUAAAGGCCAAUAACUCCUAAGGGGGUCAACUGAACAAUUUCGGUCAUGUUGACUUAUUUGUAAAUCUUACUUUGCUGAACAUUAUUGCUGUUUACAGUUUAUCUCUAUCUAUAAUAAUAUUCAAGAUAAUAACCCAAAACAGCAAAAUUUCCUUAAAAUUACCAAUUUAGGGGCAGCAACCCAACAACAGGUUGUCCGAUUCAUCUGAAAAU
rnacentral:lncRNA from 1 species